rnacentral:rRNA from 1 species
AAGGAAUUUUCGGCAAUGGGGGCAACCCUGACCGAGCAACGCCGCGUGGGGGAUGAAGGUUUUCGGAUUGUAAACCCCUUUUCAGUGGGAAGACGAAAAAGAGGACGGUACCACUGGAAUAAGCAUCGGCUAACUACGUGCCAGCAGCCGCGGUAAUACGUAGGAUGCAAGCGUUGUCCGGAAUUAUUGGGCGUAAAGAGCGCGCAGGCGGCCAUUCAAGUCAGAUGUGAAAGACCCCGGCUUAACCGGGGCUAGUCGUCUGAAACUGAAUAGCUAGAGUGGCAGAGAGGGAAGCGGAAUUCCCGGUGUAGUGGUGAAAUGCGUAGAUAUCGGGAGGAACACCAGAGGCGAAGGCGGCUUUCUGGCUGCUAACUGACGCUGAGGCGCGAAGGCUGGGGUAGCGAAC